rnacentral:rRNA from 1 species
AUUGAACGCUGGCGGCAGGCCUAACACAUGCAAGUCGAGCGGAUGAAGGGAGCUUGCUCCUGGAUUCAGCGGCGGACGGGUGAGUAAUGCCUAGGAAUCUGCCUGGUAGUGGGGGAUAACGUCCGGAAACGGGCGCUAACACCGCAUACGUCCUGAGGGAGAAAGUGGGGGAUCUUCGGACCUCACGCUAUCAGAUGAGCCUAGGUCGGAUUAGCUAGUUGGUGGGGUAAAGGCCUACCAAGGCGACGAUCCGUAACUGGUCUGAGAGGAUGAUCAGUCACACUGGAACUGAGACACGGUCCAGACUCCUACGGGAGGCAGCAGUGGGGAAUAUUGGACAAUGGGCGAAAGCCUGAUCCAGCCAUGCCGCGUGCGUGAAGAAGGUCUUCGGAUUGUAAAGCACUUUAAGUUGGGAGGAAGGGCAGUAAGUUAAUACCUUGCUGUUUUGACGUUACCAACAGAAUAAGCACCGGCUAACUUCGUG